rnacentral:rRNA from 1 species
UACGUAGGGGGCGAGCGUUUUCCGGAAUUACUGGGCGUAAAGAGCGCGUAGGCGGCCUGUUAAGUCAGGUGUGAAAACUUAAGGCUCAACCUUAAGAUUGCACUUGAAACUGGUAGGCUUGAGGUCAGGAGAGGAAAGCGGAAUUCCUAGUGUAGCAGUGAAAUGCGUAGAUAUUAGGAGGAACACCAGUGGCGAAGGCGGCUUUCUGGACUGAUUCUGACGCUGAGGUGCGAAAGCCAGGGGAGCAAACGGG